rnacentral:rRNA from 1 species
CGGCGGACGGGUGAGUAAUGCCUAGGAAUCUGCCUGGUAGUGGGGGACAACGUUUCGAAAGGAACGCUAAUACCGCAUACGUCCUACGGGAGAAAGCAGGGGACCUUCGGGCCUUGCGCUAUCAGAUGAGCCUAGGUCGGAUUAGCUAGUUGGUGAGGUAAUGGCUCACCAAGGCGACGAUCCGUAACUGGUCUGAGAGGAUGAUCAGUCACACUGAACUGAGACACGGUCCAGACUCCUACGGGAGGCAGCAGNG